UACGUAGGUGGCAAGCGUUGUCCGGAUUUAUUGGGGUUAAAGGGUGCGUAGGUGGCCCUGUAAGUCAGUGGUGAAAUAUCUCAGCUUAACUGAGAGGGUGCCAUUGAUACUGCAGGGCUUGAGUACAGAUGAGGUAGGCGGAAUUGACGGUGUAGCGGUGAAAUGCAUAGAUAUCGUCAAGAACACCGAUAGCGAAGGCAGCUUACCAAGCUGUAACUGACACUGAGGCACGAAAGUGUGGGGAUCAAACAGG
rnacentral:rRNA from 1 species